UACGUAGGGGGCAAGCGUUGUCCGGAAUCAUUGGGCGUAAAGAGCGUGUAGGCGGCCCGGUAAGUCCGCUGUGAAAGUCCAGGGCUCAACCCUGGGAUGCCGGUGGAUACUGUCGGGCUCGAGUCCGGAAGAGGAGUGUGGAAUUCCUGGUGUAGCGGUGAAAUGCGCAGAUAUCAGGAGGAACACCAAUGGCGAAGGCAGCACUCUGGGACGUGACUGACGCUGAGGCACGAAAGCUGGGGGAGCAAACAGG
rnacentral:rRNA from 1 species